ensembl:lncRNA
CAAGACUGACCAGGCGAACGGCAGCGUGUCUCCUGUGUUCACUUUCUCUCCUGUUUUACAGGAUCGUAAUCUGGCUACGCGCCCAUCAUAGUGGGGCCUGUAACACAUGCAACAUGCAGCACCUGUACAUAAAAGGCCAAAGCAGUCUGUACUUCCUCAGGAGGCUGAGGUCCUUCAACAUCUGCAGGAAGCUCCUGAGGAUGUUUUAUCAGUUGGGUUUGUGGAGAUGAGUGUGAAGAUCCAAACAAUCCCUGUCAGUGAUGGAGAAGCUUUGAUGAAUAAAUUUGGUAAAAAGUUCACCAGCAUGAAGGAAAUGAAGUUCUCAAACUUUCCUAAAGAGGACCCCAGCACGCCUGCUUAAAGAAAAGGACUGUUUGCAAACAUCUCAGAGAGAGGAGACACCAGCAUCUGAACAGAGACUCAAACCAGCAACCUGCAGGUCCCUGCUUGGCUGCUCCAGUUUUCUCCUCACUCAUGUUGCCCACCAGUGAUUUCUAGCUGCCCACCCACACAGCAGGCUAGAAUAUGCGCUGAGCCUCAGCACCAUGGUUGCAAUACUUGGACAUGUUUUCUUUAUUAAAUAAUGAACCAGACCCCAAAAAGUAAACAGCUGUUAUUGCUAGGCAACGGGAGCAGCAUUUGGUGAUGCAGCACCUGACAUUCCUGACCAUGUGGGCGGAGCAUGCGUGAAAUGGAAUGUUUAGUAGAACUGUGCAACACAAGCACUUAGUUACGGCAUUUUUCAUUGUAUCCAGACACAGUUAGAGACACAUCUACAGCAGCAUCUCUGUGCAGGACAAACGACAGUUGAAGAUAUAAAACAUCAAAAACUUCACUUCUCUACAGUACGUUGGUUCCUUUGUUUAAAAGGCCAAAAUGAAUCAAGGGAGAUCGAGAAGAGGAUUGGCGAGUGCUUCACCAUACAGUACAGUGAAGUCUGAGCUGACUAACCUACGAGAGGAAUUUCAAAUAAUACAGGCUGAAAAUGUCAAAUUAAAAGAAGAGGCAGAAAAAUCAAGAGGAGAAGCUAAAAAUUCAAAGUUUGAAACUGAAGUAGUAUUGCAGGAAUUACUGCAUGUGGGUCUAAAACUUAAAGGAGAGAAGAUGGAAAAACAACGGGCAGAAAAUGAGAAUGAAAAUAUAAAGAAAGAACUGUUGGAAGCUGAAAAAGCAUUGGAGGAAGAGAAAACCACAGCACAAGAAGCCAAAAAUAAAUAUCAAACUGCAAAGAAGGAGGCAGAAAAUGUGAUGCAGGAAUUACAGGAGGUGCAGAAAGAUUUUGAAAAGGAAAAGAGGAAAAUGCAGUUGGCAACACAAGAAGCUGAAAAUGUAAUGGCUGAAGCUGAAAUAGUUAGGAAGGAAUUCCUGCAUGUAAAGCAACAACUUGAAGAGGAGAAAAAACGUAAACAUGAGGCAGAAAAUGAGAUUGAAAAUAUGAAGAAAGAAUUGUUGGAAGCUCAAAAAGUGUUGGAGGAAGAGAAAAUGAAAAUACAGGAAGCAAAGAAAGAAAUGGAAAAUACAAAUAGUUACACUCAAAACAUGAAGAAGAAGUUGCUGGAAACACAGGAAGCAAUAGAAAAAGAGACACGUGGAAAAUGGGAGGCAAAACAGGAAAGUGAAACUCUGAAGAAGGAACUGAUGAAAGUGCAAGAAGAACUUGCAGAAGAGAAAACUGAGGUGAAGGUAUUCAAGAAAGAAAUGACAGGCUCUGCGAGGACCAAGAAAGACUGCAAAGAUGCACUUAAAGAAAUACGAAAGCACAAAAAGGAAGCUAAAGAGCUCCUCAAACAGAAAGUGAAACUGGCCAAACGGCAGCUGAAAGAAAAAUUUAAAGACGCCGAGGAGCAGCUAAACAAAACGUUGAAAGAGCUGAAGGCAAAAGAAAAAGAAAAGAAAGCCGAGGAGACGAGGGGAUUCUGGAGCAGACUGCUGAGAAAGAACUGACCCAGCAGCAUCAAGUUUAAGGAGAUCAACAGUUUCGUCCUCCUUCCCCCUCUCUCCACCUUUCUUUCACCCCAUCCUUCUUCUUCUCUCUCUC